GGGGUGGCCCGGGAUCUCUCAGAUGCAAGAAAGGGGGCCUGGUUCGUGUCUGAUUUCCACACCCCAGCUAGUGGUUGUCUACAUUUCAAAAAGCUGCAACUUUUCAUUUGAUGAAAGACUCUUGUACUUUUUUUUUUUAACUUUAUACUUA